rnacentral:rRNA from 1 species
CAGUCGCCACGGUAACACGGAGGGAGCUAGCGUUGUUCGGAAUUACUGGGCGUAAAGCGCACGUAGGCGGUUAUUCAAGUCAGAGGUGAAAGCCCGGGGCUCAACCCCGGAACUGCCUUUGAAACUAGAUGACUAGAAUCUUGGAGAGGUCAGUGGAAUUCCGAGUGUAGAGGUGAAAUUCGUAGAUAUUCGGAAGAACACCAGUGGCGAAGGCGACUGACUGGACAAGUAUUGACGCUGAGGUGCGAAAGCGUGGGGAGCAAACAGGAUUAGAUACCCGCGUAGUCCCUGUCUCUUAUAC